rnacentral:rRNA from 1 species
AGCGUACACGGUGGAUGCCCUGGCAGUCAGAGGCGAUGAAGGGCGUGCUAAUCUGCGAUAAGCGCCGGUAAGGUGAUAUGAACCGUUAUAACCGGCGAUACCCGAAUGGGGAAACCCAGUGUGAUUCGUCACACUAUCAUUAACUGAAUCCAUAGGUUAAUGAGGCGAACCGGGGGAACUGAAACAUCUAAGUACCCCGAGGAAAAGAAAUCAACCGAGAUUCCCCCAGUAGCGGCGAGCGAACGGGGAGGAGCCCAGAGCCUGAAUCAGCAUGUGUGUUAGUGGAAGCGUCUGGAAAGGCGCGCGAUACAGGGUGACAGCCCCGUACACAAAAGCGCAUGUGCUGUGAGCUCGAUGAGUAGGGCGGGACACGUGGUAUCCUGUCUGAAUAUGGGGGGACCAUCCUCCAAGGCUAAAUACUCCUGACUGACCGAUAGUGAACCAGUACCGUGAGGGAAAGGCGAAAAGAACCCCGGCGAGGGGAGUGAAAAAGAACCUGAAACCGUGUACGUACAAGCAGUGGGAGCACAGGUUUACCUGUGUGACUGCGUACCUUUUGUAUAAUGGGUCAGCGACUUAUAUUCUGUAGCAAGGUUAACCGUAUAGGGGAGCCGGAGGGAAACCGAGUCUUAAUUGGGCGUUAAGUUGCAGGGUAUAGACCCGAAACCCGGUGAUCUAGCCAUGGGCAGGUUGAAGGUUGGGUAACACUAACUGGAGGACCGAACCGACUAAUGUUGAAAAAUUAGCGGAUGACCUGUGGCUGGGGGUGAAAGGCCAAUCAAACCGGGAGAUAGCUGGUUCUCCCCGAAAGCUAUUUAGGUAGCGCCUCGUGAAUUCAUCUCCGGGGGUAGAGCACUGUUUCGGCUAGGGGGCCAUCCCGGCUUACCAACCCGAUGCAAACUGCGAAUACCGGAGAAUGUUAUCACGGGAGACACACGGCGGGUGCUAACGUCCGUCGUGAAGAGGGAAACAACCCAGACCGCCAGCUAAGGUCCCAAAGUCAUGGUUAAGUGGGAAACGAUGUGGGAAGGCCCAGACAGCCAGGAUGUUGGCUUAGAAGCAGCCAUCAUUUAAAGAAAGCGUAAUAGCUCACUGGUCGAGUCGGCCUGCGCGGAAGAUGUAACGGGGCUAAACCAUGCACCGAAGCUGCGGCAGCGAACGUAUCACCCAAGACAACUUUACGGAGUUGACGAUUGACGGAGCGAAGCGACGUCAAAGCGUUCAUUAAAGUCGAGUUGGCUUAGGGAUACGUUCGUUGGGUAGGGGAGCGUUCUGUAAGCCUGUGAAGGUGUGUCGUGAGGCAUGCUGGAGGUAUCAGAAGUGCGAAUGCUGACAUAAGUAACGAUAAAGCGGGUGAAAAGCCCGCUCGCCGGAAGACCAAGGGUUCCUGUCCAACGUUAAUCGGGGCAGGGUGAGUCGACCCCUAAGGCGAGGCCGAAAGGCGUAGUCGAUGGGAAACGGGUUAAUAUUCCCGUACUUGGUGUUACUGCGAAGGGGGGACGGAGAAGGCUAUGUUGGCCGGGCGACGGUUGUCCCGGUUUAAGCGUGUAGGUGUGUGUUCCAGGUAAAUCCGGUUCACUUUAACACUGAGGCGUGACGACGAGGCACUACGGUGCUGAAGCAACAAAUGCCCUGCUUCCAGGAAAAGCCUCUAAGCAUCAGGUAACAUCAAAUCGUACCCCAAACCGACACAGGUGGUCAGGUAGAGAAUACCAAGGCGCUUGAGAGAACUCGGGUGAAGGAACUAGGCAAAAUGGUGCCGUAACUUCGGGAGAAGGCACGCUGACACGUAGGUGAAGUGAUUUACUCACGGAGCUGAAGUCAGUCGAAGAUACCAGCUGGCUGCAACUGUUUAUUAAAAACACAGCACUGUGCAAACACGAAAGUGGACGUAUACGGUGUGACGCCUGCCCGGUGCCGGAAGGUUAAUUGAUGGGGUCAGCGCAAGCGAAGCUCCUGAUCGAAGCCCCGGUAAACGGCGGCCGUAACUAUAACGGUCCUAAGGUAGCGAAAUUCCUUGUCGGGUAAGUUCCGACCUGCACGAAUGGCGUAAUGAUGGCCAGGCUGUCUCCACCCGAGACUCAGUGAAAUUGAACUCGCUGUGAAGAUGCAGUGUACCCGCGGCAAGACGGAAAGACCCCGUGAACCUUUACUAUAGCUUGACACUGAACAUUGAGCCUUGAUGUGUAGGAUAGGUGGGAGGCUUUGAAGUGUGGACGCCAGUCUGCAUGGAGCCGACCUUGAAAUACCACCCUUUAAUGUUUGAUGUUCUAACGUGGACCCGUAAUCCGGGUUGCGGACAGUGUCUGGUGGGUAGUUUGACUGGGGCGGUCUCCUCCUAAAGAGUAACGGAGGAGCACGAAGGUUGGCUAAUCCUGGUCGGACAUCAGGAGGUUAGUGCAAUGGCAUAAGCCAGCUUGACUGCGAGCGUGACGGCGCGAGCAGGUGCGAAAGCAGGUCAUAGUGAUCCGGUGGUUCUGAAUGGAAGGGCCAUCGCUCAACGGAUAAAAGGUACUCCGGGGAUAACAGGCUGAUACCGCCCAAGAGUUCAUAUCGACGGCGGUGUUUGGCACCUCGAUGUCGGCUCAUCACAUCCUGGGGCUGAAGUAGGUCCCAAGGGUAUGGCUGUUCGCCAUUUAAAGUGGUACGCGAGCUGGGUUUAGAACGUCGUGAGACAGUUCGGUCCCUAUCUGCCGUGGGCGCUGGAGAACUGAGGGGGGCUGCUCCUAGUACGAGAGGACCGGAGUGGACGCAUCACUGGUGUUCGGGUUGUCAUGCCAAUGGCACUGCCCGGUAGCUAAAUGCGGAAGAGAUAAGUGCUGAAAGCAUCUAAGCACGAAACUUGCCCCGAGAUGAGUUCU